rnacentral:lncRNA from 1 species
AACUGUUACUAUUAAAUUCGCCCUAAACCUAAAGAAAUGAAGUGUCCAUCUAUGAAUCCUGAUGCACUACCUUCAAACAAACUGUAUAUUUCAACAAAUUCAACAUCCUAUCAUUUCUUGGAUCCACAGCUGGUUGAAACUCAUCAACCAAUAAUAGUAAUCACAAAUUCAAUAAAGGAAUUGUAUUCAACGAAGACUACUUGUAUUCUCUCUUCCCUUGUUCGCUGGAAAACAAAUUCCUUGCCGCAUAUUAUCACAAAUAUUCUCCCAAUUCUUUUGGUUGCUCCGCAAAACCCAAUUGCAUCAAACCAAAACUACAAACAAAACAUUUUCAAUUUGGGAUUUUCUUCCGCAUAUUCUCUUAUAAUCCCAUUUCUUCAUCAUCUCCUCGACCAAUUAAUCACAAGACUGCAAUGGAAUAUUCCGCCUUUAAUUUCUGCGUGCGUGUAUGCAUCGUGUAUACCCAGCGAGUUUAAUAAAUAGGGAACAUGAGCGCCCAAAUCUUUUUCCAGAUCAGAUUAGAUUCCAAAAGCCAAAUUCUCCCUACGGAUUUUGUACCCUUUUCGUGUUAAAUUAAUCGGAGCGGUGGAUUCGCACACGGAGAUAACCAAAUAACAAUGAAAUUUGGGAGGGAAUUUGGGAAUCACUUGGAGAAAACCCUACCCGGAUGGAGGGACGAAUAUCUGCGCUACAAGCUUUUGAAGAAGCUGCUGAAUAACAUCUCACCCGCCGCCGGAGUUCUGCCGCUGCCGGAGUUCCAGGUCUGGUUUGUGGCGGUUCUCGCUGGGGAAAUUAGAAAAGUUCAACGAUUUCUACGUCGGCAAGGAGGAGGAUCUCAUCAUCCGCUUCCAGGUAACUAUCUCUGUGUGUGUGUUUAGUCUUAGUGUUUAUGUUUUGUAAUUUUUUUUUUUUUGAGAAUUGUUUUGAUUUUUUUAUUGAGUGCCUUAUUUGCAGAGAUUUAACUACCCAAGUUUUGUGAUGAGUUUUACAGUUUUAUGUUCAAUUGAAGUUUGAAGCUUUGAUGAUAAUAGGUGUAAACGUUGCUUAAUUUUGAAUUUGGAAGCCCCCAAAAUAAAUAAAAUAAAAAUGAAAAAGAAAAACAGAGAAAAGAAAAAUAGAAAAGGGACAAGAAGAUGUAUUUAUUCAUUAUAAUUGCUUUAUAGUUAGCUCCCAAAUGCCAACUCAUCCAAGUACUUUUGUUGAUGAACUAAAGUAGGAAACUUGAGCAUAAUGAUAAUAAUAAUAAUAAUAAUAAUAAUAAUAAUAAUAAUAAUAAUAAGUCUUCGUUUACAUCAACAAAAAAUGGUUUAUAUUUUCUUCAUAGCAUGUUACUGACUGGAGAUGAGUGUAUGAAGAGAUUUAAGAAUUUACUACUUUUGAAACUCGGAUAGCCUGAGGCUCAUCUCCUCAUCCACGUAGAAAUCGUCGAGCUUUUCUCACCCAAGAAAUCGAACCUGCAAGAAGAUAAUAUCCAAAACAAGGCCAUUUCAGCCAUUAAGAAAGUGCACUAUGUUUAUGAAUAUGAAGUAUGGAUGAAGCUUAUUGUAGGCAUACGAAAGCUAGAUAGAGACGGUACUCGUAUGAGAUUUGAGGUAAGUAUGGUUAGAGUGAUUUUCUUCUAAUG